rnacentral:lncRNA from 1 species
UUACUAAUUUAUAUAAUGUCCACUUUACAUUUAGGUUCAACUUGUUCCAAAUCUCAUAGGACCUACCCGUGGGUAGUCCGGCUUGCACCGUGCCUAAUGGCCCCGUGGUAGUCAACAUUCCAAUUCUAUGAAUGAGCCUCUCCCACGGUAUCCCACUUCGGCGCCCAAUCCCACAGGGGUGAGCAUAUGUCGUGUGAGACUCAUCUCGCUAACCCGUCAUCCAGACCCCGGCCCAGCCGAGACUCAUCUCACACUUCCGGCUGGUACUUGGCUCUGAUACCAUCUGUGACGCCCCGACUUCCCAGGGGGUCACCCAUCCUAGGACUACUCCCGUCCUAGCACGCUUAACUCUCUUAACCUCUUGGGUCUAGCCACCACCCAAAAUGCUUAAGCCGGGUUAAGAGUUUAGCCCUAUUAUAUCUUAUAUAUAGGACUAUCUGGGGUCUCACAAUCUCCCCUCCUUUAAGCCCUGACGUCCUCGUCAGGCUCAGACUCACAAGUACCAGGCGAUGUGAGACUCGUCUCGCUAGCCCGUCAUCCAGACCCUGGCUCAGCCGAGACUCAUCUCACACUUCCGGCUGGUAAUUGGCUCUGAUACCAUCUGUGACGCCCCAACUUCCCAGGGGGUCACCCAUCCUAGGACUACUCCCGUCCUAGCACGCUUAACUCUCUUAACCUCUUGGGUCUUGCCACCACCCAAAAUGCUUAAGCCGGGUUAAGAGUUUAGCCCUAUUAUAUCUCAUAUAUAGGACUAUCUGGGGUCUCAUAAUCUCCCCUCCUUUAAGCCAUGACGUCCUCGUCAGGCUCAGACUCACAAGUACCAGGCGAUGUGAGACUCGUCUCGCUAGCCCGUCAUCCAGACCCUGGCUCAGCCGAGACUCAUCCCACACUUCCGGCUGGUAAUUGGCUCUGAUACUAUCUAUGACGCCCCAGCUUCUCCCCAUUUCUAGCCCCUAACAUGGAUAAUCAUGGGGGAAAUCCUCAAAUCAUCUCCUAGAAGCAUACUAGAAGGAAAACAAUCCAAAACCUAGCUUAAAACUAAGAAAUCUCACCUUUGGUUCAAGCUUUUCCUUGUACACUUGCACAAUAGCAUGCAACACUUUUGACUUGGUCUUCUUCUCCACCAAGAUCCCU